GGUCUCCACGUUAAAUUCUUGUGUUGUUUUUAUUUCUCAAUUUUUCUCUUUACCAAAGGGGCGGAGAUCUCGGGGUUUACGGGAAAGGGUCAUUUUUUUUCCCAACAAGUGGUAUCAGAGCGAGGUCGCCUAGCUUGAGGGGGAAAUCUUAGUAUGCUCUAUGGUCGCAGCUUUGGCUGAUCUUCCACAUCAGAAAAGAUUUUCUGGUU
rnacentral:lncRNA from 1 species